CGCCGGGUUUGGUGGCCUGUGCCUGUAGUCCCAGCUGCUCGGGAGGCUGAGGUGGAGGAUGGCUUGAGCUGUGAUCAUGCAACUGCACUCCAGCCUGGGCAAGAGAGCAAGACCCCAUCUCACACACAAAAAAGUUUCUAUAAGUAUCUGUAUUGACAGAAAAACUCCAACCCUGAAUGUGCUAAUUACCCUGAUUUGACCACUACACAUUGUAUACGUGUACUAAAAUAUUACACUGCAUCCCAUAAAUAUGUACAAUUAUUAUGUGUCAAUUAAAAAUAAUAAUACAAGCCAAAAAAUAGGACGCUGCACUAGAGGCUGAGGUUACGUGGAUGAAUAUGGCACGUGGAAAAAACAACAACAACAAUGACAACAACCUCACUUCAGGCAAAAGUAGGAGGCUUCCUCAACACAGCCCGGGGUUCUUUCCUCCGCUCCUGCUGUCUCGCUUCCUCCCUGGCAUGGGCGCUACACGGUGUCUCAGCGCGACUCCCCUAAGUCAGGAACAAGCGAAUUCCGAGAUGAACGGUGCAGUCCUGGCCUCGAGGGGCCUGGAAUCUACGGAGUGGGGCAGGUGGGCACAUAAAUAAAAAACAUCAUCACCUGAAUGGCGUGAACCCGGGAGGCGGAGCUUGCAGUGAGCCGAGAUCGCGCCACUGCACUCCAGCCUGGGCGACAGAGCGAGACUCCGUCUCAAAACAAACAAACAAACAAACAAACAAACCAUCAUCACAAUGACCGGGGGUGGGGGCUUCUCCAAGUGCUUGAUGCUCUGCCAAGGAAUUCACUGGCAUUAACUCGGGGACCCCUGACCAUAAGCCUCAGUUUCCCCAUCUGCAGAGAGAGGGGGUUGUCCUAGGGGUGCCCUGGCUCCCCUGGAAGCCUCCAGUACCUUAGAUUUCCACUGGGGAAGCCAGG
rnacentral:lncRNA from 1 species